AUUUAAAUAGUUUAUGAAAAUAUUGAUUUGUGGAAUCAAAGAUGUAAUGCAUUACUUUAAAUA
rnacentral:tRNA from 1 species